AGAGUUUGAUCAUGGCUCAGAAUCAACGCUGGCGGCGUGCCUAACACAUGCAAGUCGCACGAGAAAGGGGAGCAAUCCCUGAGUAAAGUGGCGCACGGGUGAGUAACACGUGAAUUAUCUACCUCCGAGUGGGGAAUAACUGAGAGAAAUCUUAGCUAAUACCGCAUAACACUUACGAGUCAAAGCAGCAAUGCGCUUGGAGAGGAGUUCGCGGCCGAUUAGUUAGUUGGCGGGGUAAUGGCCCACCAAGACGAUGAUCGGUAUCCGGCCUGAGAGGGCGCACGGACACACUGGAACUGAAACACGGUCCAGACUCCUACGGGAGGCAGCAGUGGGGAAUUUUGCGCAAUGGGGGAAACCCUGACGCAGCAACGCCGCGUGGAGGAUGAAAUAUCUUGGUAUGUAAACUCCUUUCGAUGGGGAAGAUUAUGACGGUACCCAUAGAAGAAGCCCCGGCUAACUUCGUGCCAGCAGCCGCGGUAAUACGAGGGGGGCAAGCGUUGUUCGGAUUUAUUGGGCGUAAAGGGUGCGUAGGCGGUUUGGCAAGUCUGAUGUGAAAUCUAUGGGCUCAACCCAUAGUCUGCAUUAGAAACUGCCGGGCUUGAGUAUGGGAGAGGUGAGUGGAAUUUCCGGUGUAGCGGUGAAAUGCGUAGAUAUCGGAAGGAACACCUGUGGCGAAAGCGGCUCACUGGACCAUAACUGACGCUGAUGUACGAAAGCUAGGGGAGCAAACAGGAUUAGAUACCCUAGUAGUCC
rnacentral:rRNA from 1 species